rnacentral:lncRNA from 1 species
AUCUCGCGCCAAAGGCUGGAGAUGCAGCAUUUGAUCAACAGUACACGACAUUGUUGAAGCCAGAGAAAUUUCGGCUCAACGCAGCUAUUGUACCAAUUGAUGCUGACUUCCUCGACCAGGUACGGGCCGCAACCAUUGAAGAUUCUCUAGCCCUUGAUAUCAAGCAACAUGCUAGUGAUGAUAAAUUCAAGAUGGAAGGAGAUCUAG